CCUGCUAGUCUCCCGUAUUUCUGACUCAUCUCCCGCCCCUCUCCCUUUUGAACAUUUCUCCCGGUAAUCUCCCGUAUUUUACGAGGUCCAAACAUAUUUUAUUAAUAAUCAAAUCAAAAUGUUUGUCCAAUGUUCUAAAGAUGGCAGAUCAUCUAUGAAACACAAUCAUGUCUUACGCAAUAAAUACACUAUACCAUUUUCAACCUAUUUGUCAAUGUGGCAACCUACAUCCUUCUGCGCAGUUGAUCUUUCUGCGCAGGAUAUUGACGCGCGAAGUUGAAUCUGAAAGGAAAGGGGAAAUGGCAGAAGCCGACGCCGGUGUACAUAUGUUUGUAAAUUUAAGUCUUGUUGGACAGAGGAGUUUCCAUGCAUAUCGAACAGUCAUCUAGAUUUAGUCUAGUCAAGAUUUUUGCAAAGCUUGUCGUAUCGAUUUCAACAUAGGGCACGGCGGUAAGAAUGACGUCCGUCAACAUGUCAAGUCUCAAAAACAUAUCCGUGCUGCCGAGGCACAAAAGGGCAAAAUCUGAACAUCAAGACCGAAGCUGACUGAGGACAGCAGAGGCACAUACACCUGCAAGCCAAACGAUGCCUUUCAAACAAAAAAGUGACCGAUGUGGAAGGCGUUGGCAGCAGACACCUCCCAGAGAGGAAGAGGAGGACCUGGUGCCGUGGGUUUUCUGUGCCCUCUGUGAAGAAUGGUUCCACUGCUCCUGUCCUCGACGCACGUUCAACGUUCAAAUAGGAAUAAACCAGGGAUGACAACAGAUAAUCUAUAACGGAUAUCUGCGUCCUGUCAUCCACUCCUUCUUCCACUUUUUCCCACUGCAAUGUAAAGAAAAGACAGAAAAGAAUGAACAGCAUUUGAAUUACUCUAGGUCGGUCUGGGGUGAAGCUUUGAAAAAUAAGGAAUAUUUGAUAACAGAGGUACACAUAUAUCAAGGUAAUUUCAAUAAUCUACAUGAAGGGCAUACUAGGGUUGAGUUCCCCGUACAACGACAGGUUAGCAUUAACGAUACAUCCUACCAUGUUAGUCUAAACUUACUAACAUCUAAAGUACGACGAUCUCCAAAAACUGUUGAACCAACAUAGUGGCCUAUUAUGAAAGUUUGAACCAUAUUAGUAGUUAGAAUGUACGUGUUUAAUGACGUAGUGAAUCAUUUCCCCCAAAUUCCUAGGUCUUCUAGCAUAAGCUAUUAUUUGUUCAUACAGGUUUACGUUGUGAAAUUGCUGUCUGUAUUACAUUAACUUGUAUAUGCCUUUACGUGUUUCUAUUGUGUAUUUUAUAGGCCUUACGUGUUUCUAUUGAACAGUUGUGUAUUGUGGUAUUUCCAUUUGUUGUUAGCUCUAUGGAGCCUGCCCCUUCGAUGUAAUGGGUUCAUAUCCAGCCUCAAUUAAUUCUGCGUAAUUAUAACCCGUUACUGGAAAAAGGCCUUAAUGUUCCAUUGCAGGGAACAACCCUGAUGUCCACUACCGCAAGUGUGAUGUGAAAAAUGUUCUGUACUAUUAUUCGUACUAUUAUUUUGGAAUUGAAGAUUCGGUUGUGGCAGAAUUUACAUCUUCUUUUUACAUCUACAUCCCAAAUUCAAAUGUCUUUGUGUGACCAAACCUUCUCAUCUGCAAGGACAUUUAAAUGUUUUUUAAUUGUUUUGGUUGGUAAUUAUUUAAAUUGAGAGAGAUUGCAGCUUCUUUUAAAUUGUACAGAUAAAUGUUGCUUGUUACAGAUAAUAAUAAAAAAAGGUAAAUGUAUUGUUUCUUCUCUAAAGGUAUUGCUGUUUCUUUGCAGUUAUUGUUGAAGCCUAAAAGUGUAUCAAGAAUUCGCAAUGAAAUGUUAUUCUAACAGCAGAAUACUGGUGACCUGUAAAAUUACCAGCAUGACAUACAGUACAGAUAGCCUACUGUUACUUAAAACACAAUAUUAACGUUCCUAUUGUACAGUUAAAACACUGUUACCGUAAAUAAAAACACAGCACUUGGAAAUUACCGUGUUUGAUUUUCUAUUUAAAACUCUACCACUGUAACCAAAAAAUACAGUAGCCUACAUAGUAAUUACUGGGUUUUAUUUUAAAGUAAGUUCCUUGUCAAUAGCUCCCAGUUUCUUACAGUGCGGGUAAAACUGCACAUACCGCUAAAAAAUACCGCUAGAUAGUUUGGACAAAGACACGGAUAUGCUACUGUGGGUAUACAACUUGCUAGAAUACAUCAUAGAGACAUAGAACGUGUCCCCCCAACACACACACACACACACACACACACGGAACGAGAUUGGGAGAGAUCCUGGGCGGAG
ensembl:lncRNA